CUUAACUGCUGAGCCAUCUCUCCAACCCCAAUCUCAUACUUUAAAAAGUUAAUUGGGGGCUGGAGAGAUGGCUUAGUGGUUAAG
rnacentral:miRNA from 1 species